AUGGGCGCCGCCGCGUCCUCUGCGCGGGAGACGGCGGGGGUAGGCUCCGGGGACGAGGAGCAGGAGUGCCGCAUCUGCCGCCACCCUGCCGAGCCGGAGCGCCCGCUGCGUCACCCCUGCGCCUGCCGCGGCACCAUCCGCUUCGUCCACGACGACUGCCAGCUCCGGUGGCUCGACGCCACCCGCCAGCGCCGCUGCGAGGUGUGCGGGCACGAGAUCUCCAUCCGCCCCAUCUACGGCGCGGAUGCCCCGGCCCUGUCAAGGCUUGCGAGUCUCAUCUUACUGCCGCUGUGCCUCGUGCUGACGGCCAAGAUCGUCUGGAUGCUCACCGGCCUCUACCUAUGGCGCCUCGCGCUCGCCGGGACCCGCGCCGAGGCCUUCCGUCUACUCACCGUCCGCUCCUGCCGACCCGCCGCGCUCUCUCAGCUCGUGCUCUGGGCGGAAAACGCGCUCCGCGCAAAAUACGGAGGACGCCGGGGCCGCUGCCAGGUCGUCGCGCUGCGCGUCCUUCAGUUUUCCUUCUUGGUAUGCUCUUCAACAAGUGCUGCAGUAUAUAUAUAUCUGCUGAUACUUACUGUAUAUUAA
rnacentral:rRNA from 1 species